rnacentral:rRNA from 1 species
GAUGAACGCUGGCGGCGUGCCUAAUACAUGCAAGUCGAACGCAUUGUGGUUGAAAUGAUAUGAAGAACUUGUUCAGAUUUGAUUUUCAACAUUGCAAUGAGUGGCGAACGGGUGAGUAACACGUGGGAAACCUACCUCUUAGCAGGGGAUAACAUUUGGAAACAAAUGCUAACACCGUAUAAUAAUUAAAACCGCAUGGUUUUAGUUUAAAAGAUGGUCUUGCUAUCACUAAGAGAUGGUCCCGCGGUGUAUUAGUUAGUUGGUGAGGUAAUGGCUCACCAAGACAAUGAUACAUAGCCGAGUUGAGAGACUGACCGGCCACAAUGGGACUGAGACACGGCCCAUACUCCUACGGGAGGCAGCAGUAGGGAAUCUUCCACAAUGGACGAAAGUCUGAUGGAGCAACGCCGCGUGUGUGAUGAAGGGUUUCGGCUCGUAAAACACUGUUGUAAGAGAAGAAUGACAUUGAGAGUAACUGUUCAAUGUGUGACGGUAU